CAACCUUUAAUGCAUCACUUGUCACUAAAAUCUCAGUUCUCAUAUUUCUGACCCAAAAUAUCAUUCAUCGGAUAAGAACUUUCCCAGAAAGAGCUAGUGGGAGCUGCAACAAUGGCCGGAAAGUAGACUCCAUGCGCCCCAAUUUUUGUAUGCACUUCAGUACUGUGCUAUAUUGGGUUACACAACACAAAUCCUUGGUGGGUUAUCGCACUAAACAUUAGAGAAAACAGAGGGAGCAAAAAAGUUGUUUUCUUUUUUAAGAAAUAAAAUAUUCUAUAUCCCAAUCCCACCUGGACGAUUGGUGUGUCACUUGGGAAUGGCUAUGGUGGCCACUGCCCUUUCGAACCUGCCUUCUGCUCUCUUCCAUGGAAAUCCACAUGGAAAUGAAUUUGGGUUUCUGGGUAUGUCGAAACAGCCCAUCAAGUAUCUCAAAUCAAAUCUUAGAGCUCCGGUUGUGAGAUGCCAAUCAACUGACGUUGGUGAACCGAAAACAAAAAGAAAUCUUCUUGACAAUGCUAGCAAUCUUCUUACCAAUUUGUUAAGUGGUGGAAAUUUGGGAACUAUGCCGAUAGCUGAAGGUGCAGUCUCUGAUUUGUUCGGCCGCCCACUCUUCUUUGCUCUGUAUGAUUGGUUCUUAGAGCAUGGAUCUGUUUAUAAACUUGCCUUUGGACCAAAAGCAUUUGUUGUUGUAUCAGAUCCUAUAGUGGCAAGAUAUAUUCUUCGUGAAAACGCAUUUGCUUAUGACAAGGGAGUGCUUGCUGAUAUUCUAGAACCGAUAAUGGGCAAAGGACUAAUACCUGCUGAUCUUGACACUUGGAAGCAGAGGAGACGAGUUAUAGCUCCUGGAUUCCAUACCUAUUACUUGGAAGCUAUGACCAAAGUGUUCACUGAUUGUUCAGAACGAUCAAUUCUGAAAUUGGAGAAGCUUCUUGGAGAAGGUGAACUACAGGAGGAUAAAACCAUUGAGUUGGAUAUGGAAGCAGAGUUUUCUAGUUUGGCUCUUGAUAUCAUUGGACUCGGUGUUUUCAACUAUGAUUUUGGUUCUGUAACCAAAGAAUCUCCAGUGAUUAAGGCUGUAUAUGGAACCCUUUUUGAAGCAGAGCAUAGAUCAACUUUCUAUAUACCUUACUGGAAAGUACCUUUGGCAAGGUGGAUAGUCCCAAGGCAGCGUAAAUUCCAUAGUGACCUUAAGGUUAUUAAUGACUGUCUUGAUGGACUAAUACGAAAUGCAAGAGAAACCCGAGAGGAAGCUGAUGUUGAGAAAUUGCAGCAAAGGGACUAUUUAAAUCUCAAGGAUGCCAGUCUUUUGCGUUUCUUGGUUGAUAUGCGGGGAGUUGAUGUCGAUGAUCGGCAGCUUAGGGACGAUCUGAUGACAAUGCUUAUUGCCGGGCAUGAAACAACUGCUGCUGUGCUUACAUGGGCUGUUUUUUUGCUUGCACAAAACCCUUCAAAAAUGAAAAAGGCUCAGGCAGAAAUCGAUUCGGUUCUUGGCAAGGGGAAGCCAACUUUUGAAUUACUUAAAGAAUUGAAGUACAUCAGAUUUAUUGUCGCAGAGACUCUUCGUUUGUUUCCUCAGCCACCUUUGCUAAUAAGACGAGCUCUCAAACCAGAUACAUUGCCAGGAGGAUACAGUGGUGACAAAAAUGGAUAUGCAAUACCUGCUGGGACUGACAUCUUCAUCUCUGUUUACAAUCUCCACAGAUCUCCAUACUUCUGGGAAAACCCUCAAGAAUUUGAACCAGAGAGAUUUCAAGUAAAGAGGGAAAGCGAAGGAAUUGAAGGAUGGGACGGUUUCGACCCAUCAAGAAGCCCGGGAGCUCUAUACCCUAAUGAGAUUGUAUCAGACUUUUCCUUCUUACCAUUUGGUGGAGGACCAAGAAAAUGUGUGGGCGAUCAAUUUGCUCUAAUGGAGUCAACUAUAGCACUGGCCAUGUUACUGCAGAAGUUUGAUGUGGAACUAAGAGGAAGUCCAGAAUCUGUUGAACUUGUUACUGGGGCCACUAUACAUACCAAAAGUGGGUUGUGGUGCAAAUUGAGAAGAAGAUCACAAGUGAAAUGAUAUAUAACAUUCUUGUUACCCCAAGAAUAUGGUACACUUAUUUGUGCAUGUAUGAUUAUACUUGGAUUCUGAUUGCAGGACUAACUGCAGGAUUUUCUGAAUAGCGUGCAAAUUUUCAUGGUAGGAAGAGAGCACCAAGUAGAAGUAUACUUAAGGACUUACGGUUUAGAGAUGAUGAAUAAGGAGAGUCUGAGAAGCAGGAAUGACCGAUAUUCAUCUCAGAUACAGUACAUAUAGAAUCCAAUUCUCUUAUCAUGUUAUAUUUCUUUCUUUCCUCUUAUGUGACUUUUUAAAGCACAUAUAAGUCAUUGAAAUACCUAGUUUAAUGCAAACUCGUUUAAUUCGUCCAA